rnacentral:rRNA from 1 species
UUCGAAGUCGGGGCCGGCAGCUGCGGUGAGUCGUAGGUGUGUAGCGGUUGGCGGAUGAGUUGGUCGUAAAGGGGUCGUAGGCGUCGCGUUAAGUCGGGUGUGAGAUCUCGGAGCGUAACGCCGAAACGGCAUUCGAUACUGCCGUGCUUGAGGACUUGAGAGGAGACUGGAAUUUACGGUGUAGCGGUGAAAUGCGUAGAUAUCGUAAGGAAGACCAGUGGCGAAGGCGGGUCUCUGGACAGUUCCUGACGCUGAGGCACGAAGGUCAGGGGAGCAAACGGGAUUAGAUACCCGAGUAGUC